rnacentral:rRNA from 1 species
GAUUAACGCUAGCGGCAGGCUUAAUACAUGCAAGUUGUACGGGAUUAUUGGUAGCAAUACUGAUAUGAGAGUAGCGCACGGGUGCGUAACACGUAUGCAACCUGCCUUUAACUGGGAAGUAGCUCACCGAAAGGUAGAAUUAAUACCGCAUAAAAUACAUAGAAGGACAUCCUUUAUUGAUUAAAUACUCCGGAGGUUAAAGAAUGGGCGAUGCGUCCGAUUAGCUAGUU